rnacentral:rRNA from 1 species
AACGACUCUCGGCAACGGAUAUCUCGGCUCUCGCAUCGAUGAAGAACGUAGCGAAAUGCGAUACUUGGUGUGAAUUGCAGAAUCCCGUGAACCAUCGAGUCUUUGAACGCAAGUUGCGCCCGAASCCAUWDKGCCGAGGGCACGUCUGGCUGGGUGUCACACAACG